rfam:Triticum aestivum genome assembly, contig: Triticum_aestivum_CS42_TGACv1_scaffold_500168_6BL
AUCGUGCUCCCUCCGUCCCAAGAUUAUUUUUCUUAGAUUUGUCUAGAUACGGAUGUAUCUAAUACUAAAACGUGACUAGAUACAUCCGUGUUUAGACAAAUCUAAGGCAAGAAUUUUGGGACGGAGGAGUACAAA